rnacentral:rRNA from 1 species
GCCUCUCUACUCCCGCCCCGGGGCGCCCGCAUCGCCCUCCGUCGGUCCAGGCAUCCUUACCCUUUGGCAAGAAAUUCCGGGUGGUUUCAGAAUGCAACAAGGUUGAGGACAGAAGACCCAAAGAAGACUCUGUUUGCAUCAGAUUCAGAUUCUCCUAGCACCGAGGUUUCAAAACAGAGCAGCACUGGUGACGCCAGCGCUUCUCCGGAUGGCCCGCCAGUCCUCACCAUUUUGGCUGGUAUCGUUGUGUUCUUCCUGCUCUUGUGGGUAAUCGGAUCAAUCUUCACCUGGACCGUCGGUCUGGUCUUCGGGGCUGCGAAAUCUUAG